GGCCCCAUGGUGUAACGGUUAGCACCCUGGACUUUGAAUCCAGAGAUCCGAGUUCGAGUCUCGGUGGGACCU
rnacentral:tRNA from 1 species